rnacentral:rRNA from 1 species
AUCUGAUCUCAAAUCAGGUAGGACUACCCGCUGAACUUAAGCAUAUCAAUAAGCGGAGGAAA